rnacentral:lncRNA from 1 species
UGGAGAUGCAGCAGUGACCAUGCACUCAGGACCACCGCCCAGAGGGAGCCCAGGGACCCUGAGUAACAGCUGGCUCUGAUGUCCUAAGGAGACCCCAGCGCCAUGACAAACCCAGGGAUCUCUGAUUGCUCCCAGCCUGAGUCGCUUCAUAUCCUACAUGGGAGGCUGAAUCCACAAUCCCUCCUGCAGACGUACCCUCUCCUCUCCCUUGUCCCUGCAGAGGCCAGGGCUGCAGGGGAUGAGGCUCGCCCCUAGUACUGCAUGACCCUGUCUACAGGUUUGGAGGCUCCUCAGCUCAGCCUCGGCCCCUGGGCUCUUGUCUUGCUAAGCCCAGAGACCCAGCUCCCACUGGGCUUGGUGGCUGCUUGAAGUGGAUCAUGCCUUGCACCUCCCCCUCCUCUCCAGAAUCUUCUAUGUGUGCCGAGACUCCCAGAACAGGAGACAUUUGGCUACAUCACCCAAGAUGGUGCCCACUUUCCAUUGCCAUGGGUCUAAGAAAAGGUGAAGUUCCCUCCCCCAGCCCUUCCCUGCCUGCUGAGGGAUAGGACAUGUGUCCCCAUUUGCAGUGGAUGCAGGGAGGGCUGGAGAAAUGCUCUGUGCUCUGAGUAAGGCAUGUUCCCCUGUAAGUGUGCCCAUGACAGCUUGUGUAUGCAUAUGUGCAUGUAUGGAUAUGCAUGUUUGUUGGCAGGGAUCUGUGCACAUUUGUAGGUCUGCCUUUCUACCCGUCUUGUGUUCUGGACUGUGCACAUAUCUGCCUUGACAGACUUAUCAAUGUUCACACAC